ACAUUUUUUGCCUCUUGGAAACACAUUCAUUUUAUUGCAUUUCACUGCUGUUUUAGUCACUUUUUAAUUCUGCAGAAGCCAUGCUCAGCCAUUAGGUCACAGUGUGUUAAUUCCUGAAUGAAAGUUCUUGAGCAUAGAAAUGCAUUCAGGAUGAGGGUCUGCAUGUCAACACAUUAAUUACUAUUCUUGCUUCAGAGGUUCCAUGGGACAGGACAGUGACCUGUUUCAAACGAGAAGAUGGUGAUUGGAUUUGAUCCUGCACCCUGGGCUUGCUCUACUGCCCUCCACCAGGUGCACCCUCUUGAACAGUAUAUUAAAGUUUGCACCAUGGGCUUUGUGUCUCAAGACCAGGGAUUCUUCCAUAUCAGUGGUAUCCAGGUAAAGUAGCCACAAGCCUUCAAGGAAGAAGUCCCACUUGGGUGGCCAACUUUG